rnacentral:rRNA from 1 species
UACGUAGGGUCCGAGCGUUGUCCGGAAUUAUUGGGCGUAAAGGGCUCGUAGGCGGUUCGUCACGUCGGGAGUGAAAACUCGGAGCUUAACUCCGAGCCUGCUUCCGAUACGGGCAGACUAGAGGUAGGCAGGGGAGAGCGGAACUCCUGGUGUAGCGGUGGAAUGCGCAGAUAUCAGGAAGAACACCGGUGGCGAAGGCGGAUCUCUGGGCCGAUACUGACGCUGAGGAGCGAAAGCGUGGGGAGCGAACAGG